AUUGAACGCUGGCGGCAUGCUUUACACAUGCAAGUCGAACGGCAGCAUGGGUGCUUGCACCUGAUGGCGAGUGGCGAACGGGUGAGUAAUGUAUCGGAACAUAUCCGCAAGUGGGGGAUAACGUAGCGAAAGUUACGCUAAUACCGCAUAUUCCCUGAGGGGGAAAGGAGGGGAUCCGCAAGGACCUUUCGCUUACGGAGUGGCCGAUAUCAGAGUAGCUAGUUGGUGGGGUAAAGGCCUACCAAGGAGACGAUCUGUAGCGGGUCUGAGAGGAGGAUCCGCCACACUGGGACUGAGAAACGGCCCAGACUCCUACGGGAGGAAGCAGUGGGGAAUUUUGGACAAUGGGGGCAACCCUGAUCCAGCCAUGCCGCGUGAGUGAAGAAGGCCUUCGGGUUGUAAAGCUCUUUCAGCUGGAAAAAAAUCGCAUCACCUAAUACGUGGUGUGGAUGAUGGUACCAGCAGAAGAAGCACCGGCUAACUACGUGCCAGCCGCCGCCGUAAGAC
rnacentral:rRNA from 1 species